GAUGAACGCUGGCGGCGUGCCUAAUACAUGCAAGUCGAGCGAACAGACGAGGAGCUUGCUCCUCUGAUGUUAGCGGCGGACGGGUGAAUAACACGUGGAUAACCUACCUAUAAGACUGGGAUAACUUCGGGAAACCGGAGCUAAUACCGGAUAACAUGUUGAACCGCAUGGUUCAACAGUGAAAGACGGUCUUGCUGUCACUUAUAGAUGGAUCCGCGCCGCAUUAGCUAGUUGGUAAGGUAACGGCUUACCAAGGCAACGAUGCGUAGCCGACCUGAGAGGGUGAUCGGCCACACUGGAACUGAGACACGGUCCAGACUCCUACGGGAGGCAGCAGUAGGGAAUCUUCCGCAAUGGGCGAAAGCCUGACGGAGCAACGCCGCGUGAGUGAAGAAGGUCUUCGGAUCGUAAAACUCUGUUAUUAGGGAAGAACAAAUGUGUAAGUAACUAUGCACGUCUUGACGGUACCUAAUCAGAAAGCCACGGCUAACUACGUG
rnacentral:rRNA from 1 species